rnacentral:lncRNA from 1 species
CUAACCCCUCCAAUCUCCUCGUCUCCCCACCAAUCAUUGGUCAUUAAUGCUGCCUCCCAGAGCUUCCAAGGCGACGUCUUGGGCUCGAUUCCGCUGUCAAAAUCCUUCCUUUUUGCGACUCACCUCGCUCUCCUUGCUAAAACUAUUCGUUAGAGCUAAGCCCCCUUCUCUCUCUCUCUCUCUUUGCUAGAUUGGAUCCCGGGUUAGAUCUUCUCUAUUUUGCCUGUUUCUUUUUAACAUUUUCUUCUCUGACCUGCGACUCUUCUUUCCAUUGCCUGCUUCUUUUCAUCUCAAUGCCACAAAGAUUUGAGGAAAAAUGAAGGCAAAACUGCCUCUCUUUUUGCGCUCUCUCUCUCUCUAUGUUUUCGUUUGGUUCUGACCUCUUGUAUGCUGUUCUCUGUGCUUGUUCUCUCCGAGACCGAUGCAAAGAGAAGACGGCAAAACGUUGAAGGGAAAAUAAAACGAUCGGAAAGGGGAGGCAGAGAUCUUCUCGUCUUUUUUUUUUUUUGGGUCGAUGCCUUUCUUUUGGAAUUUUGGUGUCAAUUAUCCCAUGGAUUUGAUUUGUGAUGCAAAGUGUUAU